AGUGAACGCUGGCGGUAGGCCUAACACAUGCAAGUCGAACGGCAGCACAGUAAGAGCUUGCUCUUACGGGUGGCGAGUGGCGGACGGGUGAGGAAUACAUCGGGAUCUACUUUUUCGUGGGGGAUAACGUAGGGAAACUUACGCUAAUACCGCAUACGACCUACGGGUGAAAGCAGGGGAUCUUCGGACCUUGCGCGAUUGAAUGGGCCGAUGUCGGAUUAGCUAGUUGGCGGGGUAAAGGCCCACCAAGGCGACGAUCCGUAGCUGGUCUGAGAGGAUGAUCAGCCACACUGGAACUGAGACACGGUCCAGACUCCUACGGGAGGCAGCAGUGGGGAAUAUUGGACAAUGGGCGCAAGCCUGAUCCAGCCAUACCGCGUGGGUGAAGAAGGCCUUCGGGUUGUAAAGCCCUUUUGUUGGGAAAGAAAAGCAGCAGGUUAAUACCCCGCUGUUCUGACGGUACCCAAAGAAUAAGCACCGGCUAACUUCGUG
rnacentral:rRNA from 1 species